rnacentral:tRNA from 1 species
GCGGUCGUAGCUCAAUGGUAGAGCUGCAGUCUUCCAAACUGAGGACGUAGGGUUCGAUUCCCUCCGACCGCUCCA